rnacentral:rRNA from 1 species
UACGGAGGGUGCGAGCGUUGUCCGGAAUCACUGGGCGUAAAGGGCGCGUAGGCGGCUCAUGAAGGCUGUGGUGAAAGUCCGGGGCUCAACCUCGGAUCGGCCGUGGCGACUCGUGGGCUGGAGCACUGUAGAGGCGGGUGGAAUUCCGGGUGUAGCGGUGGAGUGCGUAGAGAUCCGGAAGAACACCAGUGGCGAAGGCGGCCCGCUGGGCAGUGGCUGACGCUGAAGCGCGACAGCGUGGGGAGCAAACAGG